GAGAUGUGAGAUAGAUCCCUGGUUGACUCUACUCGCACCCUGCCUGCUUGGACUUAUGCUGGUCGUCAAAAUGAAAAAGCCUGGGGAAACCAGUGAAUUGUGAACGUGAGAGGCAGCUCCUCCAGACUUCUCUGCAAAGAAAGACCUGAGGUGCCCUGCAGGCUGCACUGAAAUCACUGGGUGCUGUGAGCAAUCACCAUCCUUUGAAAAGUCUGAAACUGAGCAUUCUGAGUAGAAUUCUGCAUUUUGCCAGAUCCUGCUGGGAAACAGCUGUGUUUAUACUUUGCACAUCUGUCAGAGCAGGCUGCUGAGAUCUCCAGAUCUGAGGACUGUCCCAGCUGAUUUAGCUCCUGGACAGUUUUGCAGAGCUUCUGUCAUGGAUUCCUGCUUAUGAAUAGAUAAAACAGUGUACUGAAAGCUGCUGGGCAAAACUGUUGUGCUGAAUCCUUGGCAAGUUUCAGAAAGACAAACGUGAUGUUGUCAGACCAUCACCCAGUACAGCUGCAGUCACUCAACAGGCCAAAAGCAAGAUCCUGAUCUUGGGCAUCUCAGAGCACCCUGUAUGGCUGCAAGUAUCUGCCACUUCUAAGCAGAGGCCCUGUAUGACUCCAAAGGUUUCCUGAGCUCAAGCAGUUAUGGAUGCCAGCUGGAGCUCUGAAGAGGAGCUGGACAUGAUGGCCCUGGGGAGUUCCUUCCAUCUCAGGAUAAUCUGAUUGCUGAACUGCUACUUACAGCUUUUCACAGCCUUCCUACUUGUUCUUGUUCAGUGCGUCUGUUUGAAAGUGUCUUGAAGAUGAAGUUAUUUCCUGGAGGAAUUCUGAAGGCAACAAGAAGCAUUUUCUCAAGGAGGGAAAAAAAAAAAACCAAACCCUGGAGUGACUUGUGCCUAAAUCCUGGAGCAGAACAGAGUGGCAGCCAGGGCUGCUUACCAGGUAGGACCGGGCAGACUCGAGUGUGUGUUCUGCAGUUUAUAAGGACUGAAAAAACAGAAGAGGUCCUUUUGGGAUUUAUGUUAUCUUCAGCACUGCACAUCUCCUAAAGUACCAAAGAACUGUUUCUUCUCCUACCCAUUCUGAGACGACAUUUCUCUCCCUUUUGCAAAGUAUGUGGAAAGGUGGGAGCACCCCUGCUUCAUUAAGGCUGUCCAGUGACAGUCCUUGUAAGUUUUAAGGGAAUGCUAAGCAAUAGGGAAACUGUUAAAUUAGCACUGCAACAUAAACUGAAUAGACUUGUGAUAAGGGGCGCAGUAACUAAGACUAAAACUUUUAAAUCCAGUGUUGGUGGGUCAUUAAAACUACAGGUGUGGCUUUCAGGAGGUUCAGCCUUGACUUUGUAACUGGUAAGGGGAGGGAAGCAAGAAUAGUAGGAAGGUUGUGGAGUACUCGAGGGGGAACUGUCAAGCUGUGCAAAAAAUACACAUAUAUACAUAGACUUAUAGGCUCCUUGACUUAGAAGUGCUUAAACCUGAAUAUGUUAUCCUGAACACCACUAACCAUAAAAGGGUGUUGGUGAUCAAAGAUGCCUUGUGGGUGCUUGUGCCAUCAAUAACACUGCGUAUCUGUAGGAAUUAGUAUGUAUUUACAUGCAGAGUGACUCUGUCUCACCCUUUGAUUUGAUUGAGCCCUGCUUCUGAAAUGGCUAAUAAAUCAAGAGGAAGG
rnacentral:lncRNA from 7 species